rnacentral:lncRNA from 1 species
CGUGGGUGGCUCCCGAUAUUGAUCCGACAGUCCAGGGGGUUAUUUGGCUUUGUCUAGGAUUUCUAAUCCCUCUCUAAUUAGGUUUAAGCCCUAUAAAAGGCUGGGAACAGUAAACAGAGAGGUGGUGGUUUUGGUUUUCUCCAGUGGAUGCGCCGUACGUAACCCGAAGAAGAGAGAGAGGGUUGUGACGCUGAGAAGAG